CCUACGGGAGGCAGCAGUGAGGAAUUUUCCGCAAUGGGCGAAAGCCUGACGGAGCAAUACCGCGUGAGGGAUGAAGGAUUUUGGUCUGUAAACCUCUUUUCUCAAGAAAGAAGUUCUGACGGUACUUGAGGAAUAAGCAUCGGCUAACUCCGUGCCAGCAGCCGCGGUAAUACGGGGGAUGCAAGCGUUAUCCGGAAUGAUUGGGCGUAAAGCGCCUGUAGGUUGUUUAUUAAGUCCGUUGUUAAAGCCUAGGGCUCAACCCUAGAAAAGCAAUGGAAACUAGUAGACUAGAGUAUGGCAGGGGUAGAGGGAAUUUCUAGUGUAGCGGUGAAAUGCGUAGAUAUUAGAAAGAACACCGGUGGCGAAAGCGCUCUACUGGACCAUUACUGACACUCAGAGGCGAAAGCUAGGGUAGCAAAAGGGAUUAGAUACCCCUGUAGUCCUAGCCGUAAACGAUGGAUACUAGAUGUUGUGCAUUAUGUACAGUAUCGUAGCUAACGCGUUAAGUAUCCCGCCUGGGGAGUACGCUCGCAAGGGUGAAACUCAAAUGAAUUGACGG
rnacentral:rRNA from 1 species